UACGUAGGUGGCAAGCGUUAUCCGGAUUUACUGGGUGUAAAGGGCGUGUAGGCGGGACUGCAAGUCAGAUGUGAAAACCACGGGCUCAACCUGUGGCCUGCAUUUGAAACUGUAGUUCUUGAGUACUGGAGAGGCAGACGGAAUUCCUAGUGUAGCGGUGAAAUGCGUAGAUAUUAGGAGGAACACCAGUGGCGAAGGCGACUUUCUGGACAGUAACUGACGUUGAGGCACGAAAGUGUGGGGAGCAAACAGG
rnacentral:rRNA from 1 species